AGGAGCCGUAUGAGGUGAAAGUCUCAAGUACGGUUUGGAAUUGGAGUUGGGGAAGGUGACUUCCCUUUCGACCAUAAC
rfam:Arthrospira platensis NIES-39 DNA, nearly complete genome.